AAGGUGGAAGGCUACAUCGUCAAAACAUGUCUGACUUCCGUUCGAAACGCCAUUGUGUUCCGGAUUGAUAACAUUAUGUCGUGGUACAAAAUAGCUAUACACCGUUUAAUUGAACUCUUCUAACUAAGGAGGUGAGAUAGGAAUGAAAUCACCAAAACGCUUAGAAAAUAUGUCAAUUUUCUUCCUGUUUAAAGCUUUCAACUAACAUUGAUUAUCAGCUGUUUUUACGGAAAACGUGGAAUCUAAAUAAUAUACCGUUUCCCUGCUCUGCUGCUAUUGGCAACACAAUUUUGUCAUGUCAUCUGCAACAGACGAUCAUACAUAUGUGGCGGAUUAUCGAUAUAGAUACAACUAGGUAGCAAUAGCAGUGGAAGCCCGGAUUUGCAAGCCAACUGAGGGAAAGACAGAAUUCUGAAAAGGAGCAUGUUUUUCAUUUCCACACAUGCAUGUGUAUCACUAUGGACAUCUAAUGUUUUUGUGGGAUUUUGUCCAGCAGUUUGCCUUAAAAGAAUUUUUUUAUAUUUUAGUUUCAUAUUUAUGUGGAUUCCAAUAAAAAUCAUACAAACUUAAUUCAUGAUUUUUUUUGUUU